UAAUAAACAGAGAAGGCUCAGGAGGGUCAGAAACACGGUGCCUCAUUUCUCAGCCUACUUGCCAAGAAUUCCCAAAAAGGAAGCACUGGAGGAUCAUUCCAAGGCUUGAGGUCCAGGACUACCCACUUCCCUUGGAAUGGUGUUGCCAUCACUGUUCUGGCACCGGAGGUAAGGAUUCUACAUCGUUAGGAGAAAAGAAAAAGGAGAAUUUGGGCUUGCACUGAGAGGAUUACCUUUGGUGGUCUGGAAGUGGUGGGGUUGCAGCAUUGAAGGCACCAUCUUGGAAGCAGAGACUAGACCCUCACCAAGCAAUUAACAUGCUGGUGCAUUGAUCUUGGACUUUCCAGCCUCCAGAACUGGAAGUCCCUGCAUGGACACUGCCAGCUUCAUUGCACUUCUGCCUCUAUGCUUUUUCCUGAACCUUCUCCACCUCUGGAACGUACUUCAGGCUGCACAGGGAGCAUGGCUGGGAGGCCUCAGGAAACUGACAAUCAUCAGUAGAAGAUGAAGAGGAAGGAGGCGCAUCUUACAUGGCCAGAGAAGGAGGAAGAAUAAGAAGGGAUUCUCCAGCUGGAGCCCUAUAAAUUGGACUGACAAAAGACAGAUUAGCAAGAGAAAUGCAAGCAGCAGUUUAUUAACAUGUGCAUCAUGAUUACACAUGGAAGUACCCAGAGGUCAUAAGACCUCAUGUGACAAGUGCCCUCCUUACUCCCAGAGAAAAGGAAGGAAGACACAGAAACACCACGAAGAAUAUGGACAAACAGACCUUGCUAAGUUCCCCCCCAUUUAUUACCAUGACAUCAUACUCCCUUUGUCCAAUCACACUUUCAUCAAACCUGAGCAUGAAAAUACACAGGUUUCUCUGUUUGGGGGGUGGGUCUUCAUUUUUGAAGUUUCCAUGUCAUGUAAAACUUAUAUUAAAGAAAUGUGUAUGUUUUACCCUUGUUAAUUU
rnacentral:lncRNA from 10 species